ACGGGGUGCAGCAGGCGCGAAAACUCCACAAUGUACGGAAGUACGAUGGGUUAUCUGGAGUGCAGUCCGAUAAGGGCUGCCUUUCCAUAGAGUAAUAUCCUGUGGGAAUAAGAGGGGGGCAAGACUGGUGUCAGCCGCCGCGGUAACACCAGCCCCUCGAGUGGUGGGGACUAUUAUUUGGCCUAAAGCGUCUGUAGCUGGCUGUAUCCGUCUCCCGGUAAAUCCGGCGUCCUAAGCGUCGGUUCUCGGGUGAUGCCAUACAGCUAGAGGGUGGGAUAGGUGAGCGGUAUUUCUGGGGUAGGGGCGAAAUCCUUUGAUCCCAGGAGGACCACCAGUGGCGAAGGCUGCUCACUAGAACACGCCUGACGGUCAGGGACGAAAGCUGGGGCAGCGAACCGGAUUAGAUACCCGGGUAGUCCCAGCUGUAAACGAUGCUAGCUAGGUGUUGGGUCGGCCACGCGCCGCCCCAGUGCCGCAGGGAAGCCGUUAAGCUAGCCGCCUGGGGAGUACGGCCGCAAGGCUGAAACUUAAAGGAAUUGGCGGGGGAGCAC
rnacentral:rRNA from 1 species